rnacentral:rRNA from 1 species
AAGAGUCCAUAUCGACGGGAUGGUUUGGCACCUCGAUGUCGGCUCGUCGCAUCCUGGGGCUGGAGUCGGUCCCAAGGGUUGGGCUGUUCGCCCAUUAAAGCGGUACGCGAGCUGGGUUUAGAACGUCGUGAGACAGUUCGGUCCCUAUCCGCUGUGCGCGUAGGAAUAUUGAGAAGGGCUGUCCCUAGUACGAGAGGACCGGGACGGACGAACCUCUGGUGUGCCAGUUGUUCUGCCAAGGGCAUGGCUGGUUGGCUACGUUCGGAAAGGAUAACCGCUGAAAGCAUCUAAGCGGGAAGCCUGCUUCGAGAUGAGUAUUCCCACCAACUUGAUUGGUUAAGGCUCCCAGUAGACGACUGGGUUGAUAGGCCAGAUGUGGAAGCCCGGUAACGGGUGGAGCUGACUGGUACUAAUAGGCCGAGGGCUUGUCCUCAGUUG